ensembl:lncRNA
CUCAGCUCCAACACUGGCAAACCUUCCCUGACUUCCCCAGGCAGAUGAUUUGUUCUUUCUCUUUUGAGUCCUCUGCAGUUUCAAAUACUGCCAUUUUUAUAAUUGCCUUGUUUUAUUUUAUCACGUCUCUCAGUCUGUGUCUCCCACUGGGCUGUGAACUCUACGGCAGAAGAACGACUCCUCAUUUGUUUGCUGGCUACCUGGAACCUCAGACAGGCCUGGCACUCAGAGUGCUCAAGAAAUAUUUUUGGGGGCCGACCCAGUGGUGCAGCAGUUAAGUGCUCACAUUCUGCUUCCCAGUGGCCCAGGGUUCACGGGUUCAGGUCCCGGGUGCGGACACGGCACCGCUUGGCACACCAUGCUGAGGUCUUAGGCCUGCUGGCUUUUGGACGGGGACUAUGCCGUCAGCUCUCCGGUUCCCAGGCCUUCGGACGUGGACUGGAACUACACCAUUGGCUUUUCUGUGUCUCCAGCUUACCAUCUGCAGCCAUGGUAACCAUCUGGCCUGCUGGACUGCUUCUUGAGUGCAGGACCAUGUCUGAUUCAAGUCUACAUCCAGAGCACAUAGAGCAAGUUCUGGGACAUAAAAUAAAAAAGAGUCGCUCAAGAGAGAAUCCAUCCAUCCAUCAGUUGAAUGCCUUCACAGUCCGUCAAAGAACUCUUGCUGACUGAUCAUGCUAUUGCUCUCUCUGCCAAUGGAAUUGCAACUGCUUCCUAGUCCCCUAAUCACCGUCUAUUCCUUAACCACCCCCUAUAGGACAGGACCACUAUUCUGGGAGGUCUUUCAGACUUAUCUAGAACGUGGCAUGUUUCCUGACAUCCAUACCAACAUUUAGGUCUGGGCUCUGCUUCUAACUCAUUGUCUGUGAUGGCACGUCUUUAGGUCUUGUAGCGCCGUUUUUAAAAAGGAACAGUUUUGCAAUAUGAUUUCUGAAGUCUCUUCUAACCCGAGUGUGCUAGAAUUUUCUGUCUGGAAUCUAGAAUUUCUGGUAAAGAUGAGACAGACUUAUUCGAGGCCUUCAUAUCGGCAUCAUAUGGCCUGUUGGUUGGAGCCUGGAUGAUGAGCCACUGUAGUCUGGGCUUUUCCUGAGGUCUGCCUUGCUGGUGGCAGAGUUUCUUUAACAGUCGUGCUCCAGCAGGCUCUGGCCACCCCCACGGGCAACUCAGUGAAUACUGGCUGCCUGAUGGAUGUGUUAGAUGGGAAGCCAACUGGAUGAAGGAUGCGUGAGGAGCCCUGGAAAACACAGUGGUUCAAAGGGGAGGGCUGCGCCGAGCAGGUUCCCAAAUGUGCUUACCCGCCCAGGCUCUGAACGCGAGCUCCGUUGGAAAAACACGUGUUUCUGACUCCAAGGGAAAGGCUCUAGGAAUAAUAAUAAUAAAAGGGGCUUUGAAAGCUUCUUGGAAAUCAGCUUCUAUAAAAUAGUGUUUUGAGAAAUUGAGCGCAAGUCAAGCAGAAACAUGGAUUGAAAUUCUCCCUUCGCAUACUCAUUCUUUUAAAAUAUUUUAUUUUUAAAUAUGAAAAUAAUCUGUGCAUAUGGCUAAAGAAUCCAAACAGUAAAGAAAAGCACAGAAUUCAAAGCAAAAAUCUCCCUUCCUUCCUCUCUUUUCAUGUCUCAUGAGGUAACAGUUUAUUUCUGUUUUGUGUGCGAUUACUAUGUGAGUUUAUAAAAAUUAAAAAAAAUUAUUGUGGUAAAAUAUGCAUAACAUAAAAUUUACCAUUUUAACCAUUUUUGAGUGUAUAUAGUUCAUUGGCAUUAAGUACAUUCACAUUGUUGUGCAACC